AAGCGAGCAAAGAAGUGGUAUU
rnacentral:miRNA from 1 species